rnacentral:lncRNA from 1 species
CUCACUUUGUAUUCACACGCCAGCCCCUGGUCGGGAGGAACUUGGCAGUCCUCCACUUGGCAGAGGCAGCAGAGCGCAGCCAAACUGCAGCAGCCGAGGAGGCCCUGCAUCUUGAACUAUAAAUGUUUACAUGGGAGCCUGGAAAAGAGUUCUCAGCUUUUGAAUGAAUAUAUGAACAAUAUGCAAUGAUCCUGCCAAAGGGAAGGCUUUACAUGCAAAAGGCAAAGACAACUCCUGUGAAGAUUGUUAAUGCAUUGACAGCCUUAACAGAGCUGCUUUGUUACAGGUAACCCCUUGGGAAAGAGCUCAUCAACAGCACCUAAAAUCAGAAACUAUCUGCCAGUUGAAUGCUCUAAAUAGGAGAUCAUCCUGUUUGCUUUCUUGCAGCAUCACUUCGCCACCUGUCUAGUGUAGUUCUAUAAAGGAUCCCAGCAUGAACCUGUCUUUCAUUCCCUAAUGGAGACUUGGUGCCUCUUACUGAAGCUCUGAAUUUAUAGUCCUUCCACAUAUAUGGAAAAUUCUGAUGCCCAUAGGGAUGGACCUUGAAAGAAAAUGCAUGAAUGGGCAACUACCAAGAAAUACUUAACCUUACAUGGGGGUCGCGAAAACCACACAUUGUGCCAGCUUUUUCAGUACCUCCCAACCACCUUCUAUUUCUGUCUUUUUUUUUUUUGCAAACCCUGUUGCUGCUCACUUUUUAUUUUUUUCUCCCCUCUCUUCCUCCCCAUUAGUUUAUUAUUCCAGAUAAAUCUCAUUUAUCUGUUUUCAGCCUUCUUGCUUCAUUUAACUCUUGCCUGGAACGGUUCAUUUUCUUUCCCCACCCUGUUCUGUAUUUUGUCACCUUUGUCUCUGCUGAU